AGUGAACGCUGGCGGUAGGCCUAACACAUGCAAGUCGAACGGCAGCACAGUAAGAGCUUGCUCUUACGGGUGGCGAGUGGCGGACGGGUGAGGAAUACAUCGGAAUCUACUUUUUCGUGGGGGAUAACGUAGGGAAACUUACGCUAAUACCGCAUACGACCUACGGGUGAGAGCAGGGGAUCUUCGGACCUUGCGCGAUUGAAUGAGCCGAUGUCGGAUUAGCUAGUUGGCGGGGUAAAGGCCCACCAAGGCGACGAUCCGUAGCUGGUCUGAGAGGAUGAUCAGCCACACUGGAACUGAGACACGGUCCAGACUCCUACGGGAGGCAGCAGUGGGGAAUAUUGGACAAAGGGCGCAAGCCUGAUCCAGCCAUACCGCGUGGGUGAAGAAGGCCUUCGGGUUGUAAAGCCCUUUUGUUGGGAAAGAAAAGCAGCAGGUUAAUACCCCGCUGUUCUGACGGUACCCAAAGAAUAAGCACCGGCUAACUUCGUG
rnacentral:rRNA from 1 species